AUUGAACGCUGGCGGCAUGCUUUACACAUGCAAGUCGAACGGUAACAGGGUGCUUGCACCGCUGACGAGUGGCGAACGGGUGAGUAAUGCGUCGGAACGUGCCGAGUAGUGGGGGAUAACGCAGCGAAAGUUGUGCUAAUACCGCAUACGUACUGAGGUAGAAAGUGGGGGACCUUCGGGCCUCACGCUAUUCGAGCGGCCGACGUCUGAUUAGCUAGUAGGUGAGGUAAAGGCUCACCUAGGCGACGAUCAGUAGCGGGUCUGAGAGGAUGAUCCGCCCCACUGGGACUGAGACACGGGCCAGACUCCUACGGGAGGCAGCAGUGGGGAAUUUUGGACAAUGGGCGAAAGCCUGAUCCAGCCAUGCCGCGUGUCUGAAGAAGGCCUUCGGGUUGUAAAGGACUUUUGUCAGGGAGGAAAUCCCUAGUGCUAAUAACACUGGGGGAUGACAGUACCUGAAGAAUAAGCACCGGCUAACUACGUGCCAGCCGCCGCCGUAA
rnacentral:rRNA from 1 species